CAAAAUCACUCUUUUACCAGGGACCCAUCAACAUGGGCUGUGUUCACACUGAAACCAUGAAGAGGGCAGCCUGGGUCAUCAUUGAGAAGUACUACAUUCUCCUGGGCAAUGACUUCCACACCAACAAGCACAUGUGCAAGGAGAUCACCCUUAUUCCCAGCCAGAAAGUCUGCAACAACCUCACAGGCUAUGUCACGCAUCUGAUGAAGUGGACUCAGAGAGGCCUGGUGAGAGGUAUCUCCAUCAAGCUGCAGGAGGAGGAGAGAGAAAGGAGAGAUAAUUAUGUUCCUGAGGUCUCAGCCCUGGAUCAGGAGAUCAUUGAAGUAGAUUCUGACACUAGGGAAAUGCUGAAAUUCUUGGACCUUGACAGUCUGUCCAAACUUCAUGUCACUCAGCCUGCAGUUGGGGUGAAUUUCAAAACACCACGUGGAGCAGUUUGAAUCUAUCUGCUGUGCUGUAAUAUUUUCAAUAAACCUUGGA